UUUGCUCUUGUGCUGUAUCGGCGUAGCGC
rnacentral:piRNA from 1 species